AGAGAGAGCGAGACUGACCUACCCAAGAGAGAGAACGCAAGAGUGACUCCCCCCUAUCACUUAAAGGCCGGAAGAAAAAAAUUUCCCACGGCCUUAUUUACCAAGCUCGGGACUAGAGGAGCAUUUUUGGAAUUUGAGGUAUCGCUUGUAAUGUAAUAAGGAUGAAGUCUCAUUCAUAUAGUAAUGUCCCUAGCUUGCGCCCUAUUUGAGACUAAGGCAGGUUUGGAACCCUGUCCUAUCACCUUUAUCAAAUCCCUAGCUCUCUUCCUUAGUGCAACUGCCCUAUUCCUACCAUGGGAAUAUCUAUCUUUCUUUUUUCUUUCAUAUCUAUAGUUUAGGAUAGAAAAGCGGACGGUCUCGUUUAUGAAGAAA
rnacentral:lncRNA from 1 species